UACGGAGGGAGCUAGCGUUAUUCGGAAUUACUGGGCGUAAAGCGCACGUAGGCGGCUUUGUAAGUUAGAGGUGAAAGCCUGGAGCUCAACUCCAGAAUCGCCUUUAAGACUGCAUCGCUUGAAUCCAGGAGAGGUGAGUGGAAUUCCGAAGUGUAGAGGUGAAAUUCGUAGAUAUUCGCAAGAACACCAGUGGCGAAGGCGGCUCACUGGCCCGAUACUGACGGCUGAGGCACGGAAAAGCGU
rnacentral:rRNA from 1 species